rnacentral:snRNA from 1 species
AGCUUUGCACAGCAGCAACAUCCUAACCAGUGAGGCUUAUUUGAGGCAUGAUUACUGCUAACAGAAACCAAUCUGAAGCAGUGACAGCAGGCAAUGUUAGUGCUCAAACACCGCCUUUCCUCUCCAUUUUAGAAUUCUUUUUCUUGAG